AGACCGCUGGCGGCGUGGAUUAGGCAUGCAAGUCGAACGGUAUCAUUCCGUUUCGGGGGUGAGGAGAGUGGCGAACUGGUGAGUAACACGUAGGUUAUCUACCCUCAAGGACGGGACAACCCAGGGAAACUUGGGCUAAUACCGGAUGUGAGCAACUUUUAGUUGUUUGAAAGGUGGCGUAAGCUGUCGCUUGGGGGAUGAGCCUGCGUCCUAUUAGUUAGUUGGUGAGGUAACGGCUCACCUAGGCAAUGAUAGGUAGGCGGCCUUAACGGGUGGUCGCCCACACUGGGAUUGAGAUACGGCCCAGACUCCUACGGGAGGCAGCAGUCGAGAAUAGUCUACAAUGGUCGGAAGACUGAUAGUGCGACGCCGCGUGAACGAUGAAUCCCUUCGGGGUGUAAAGUUCUUUUAUAUGUGAGCAGUGCUUCUUAUAUUAACAGUAUGGGGAGAGAGAUAUUAGCAUAUGAAUAAGCAACGGCUAACUCCGUG
rnacentral:rRNA from 1 species